rfam:Echinicola vietnamensis DSM 17526, complete genome.
UAAGUAGCGUGUCCCGUCAAGGGCUAGCCACCCAACGGAAGCGAGUCUUGCAUAGUCACUGGAGACGAUGGCAUGAAGCGUAGACAGCGACUGCCGAAGGCCAGUAUAGAGCCACGAAAUAUUUGCAAUACCGGGGUUUUAACUGUUAAAUGAGUUGGAACAACACUGAUGACAGCGAGAGAGUAAAGGCAAGUAGUCACAGCCUGGUCGUGGUCUGAGACCU